CAUGGAAAUCAAUCACGAGGGUACCAUGUUUGAAUGUCUUUGGAGGCCACUAGUAGGAGUCUGGAGACUCCUGUGCAGCCAUGUGACUGAUGACUCUGGAGCACAUGCCUCCACUUUGUGGAACAGCUCUCCAGGAGUCUGGAGGACAAGACUUUCCCAAAAGGGCCAGACUGUAAAAACUGCAGUGGGCAUUUACCUCCAGUUCAUUUGUUACACUGGAAAUGGAAAAUUGAGUCAAGCACAUGAUUGUCACUUUUAGCCCAGCUGUACAGUUAUAGAAAACAAAAACAACAUUGAGCCUCAGCAAUGUGCAUAAAAUCUGGGCAAAGGUGAUGUAUUUUUGUAGUCCACCCCAGAAGUUAAAAUCACCCUGGUUCCCUUGACAAAAUCUGCAUGGGAUUUUUCCAUUGACUUUUGGAUUAUUGCAAAAAAUACGUUAUGUGACGAACAAAAGUUUAAGAUUCUUACAUGUUUUGUUCACCACGAUAAUCUAGGCUAACAUAACCUUCUGAAGCCUAAAUGCAACGAGCAGAAGUAAAAAGCUAAACAGGCUAUUUAUGAACUAAACUGUGGUCACAUGCCUUCAACACCACCAUCAUGGAUCUCCUGACAACUCCUUUAGUGUUUAUUUUAAACCUGUCUGCUGUAGAUGGUUUGGUGACAACCAAUGUAGUCCCAUUUAUCCACUUGUUAGCAAGUCUUUUUUUCCAAGACACAUUAAAGCAUAAAAAACACACAAGGAAUCUUACUGAUGUAUUUUAUGUCACAGAAUAAAACGUAAAUAUCAGCUUUAGAAUUGGAAAUG
ensembl:lncRNA